GUCUGGGUGGCGCAAUUGGUAAGCUCCAUUUACUUAAAUAAUCCAACAAUCCAGUUACUAAUUAGAUCUGAAGGUUAGCGCGUACGACUGUUAAUCGUGAGGUUGAGAGUUCGAUCCUCUCCCUGGACG